rnacentral:lncRNA from 1 species
CAGUCCGUUGAUCGCAUGGUACCUAUCCAACCUGCCGGCGUACCGGACGGCAGUGAGCCCACUUCUCCGGGGAAUAGAGGUGGGGCUGGCGCACGGGUUCCUGCUGGUGGGGCCAUUCGUGAAGGCGGGGCCAUUGAGGAAUACGGAGAUUGCAGGACCUGCUGGAUCGUUAGCAGCAGCUGGGCUGGUUGUGAUCCUGAGCGUGUGCCUGACAAUGUACGGGGUGGCGAGUUUCAACGAAGGUGAACCCUCGACUGC